GCUAUGGGUGCCCAUUCUGGUUUCGAUGGCAAGGUGGCAUCAGCAGCCAUCUUUGCUGCCUUCCACUUCAUCAUAAUUGGAUGAUGUAAUCAGAUCUUGAUUUAUUCUGGUGGGUUUUUGGUCCCAAACCUUGCAGAAGAAGGUCUAUGUUAAGAUAGAGAUAUUAGAGAUAAAGAUAUUUACAGGGAAUUUAUGCUGGCAGUUUGUCUUACAGCUGAUUCUGACCACAGGGUUAUUCUCAGUGUCAUGUCAAUUAACACAAUUCCUGACUGCCUUUUUAAGUGUCAGACUUCCCAUAGACUCGGUAACAGUGAAUUAAAAAACCAUCCACAAAAAAAUACUCCAGUCUUGAGGAAAACUAAUAUGGUUGUUGGCUGAUUUCACAGCAUCAGCUGAAUAGAAUGAGAAGUCUGGAAAUAUGGUCUAUCUCAAGUUCAGCUCAGCUCAGUAGGUUGUACAGAACUGAUUACCUCAAUUAAAUAAAAGAAAUCAGGUCACUUCAAGAGCAGCUCAAAGAAGAGGGGUAUAAUGGAAUUUUGUCCACAGAAAUGGAGUUUUUGAAGAGAUGCAAGUGGGAAUAUUUCCAAAACUUUUAUCCAAGACUUUCUGAAGUCAAUCACAAGCAAAUCCAGAAGGGGAACCCUCUGCCUCCCACCAGCUCCUGAAGUGAGUUGCCUCUUGCCAGCAUCAUCGUUGUUUCUGUGAAUCAUGGGCACGUUUGGUUGCACACUGGCAGUGCUCUGUAAGGCAAGUAGCCGGGGCCUUCCUCUCAAUUACUCUGCAGCCCAGUAGCUAGACUAUUGCUCUAGGAGAUAAGAGCUGUGAAUUUAUAUUCAUAGGCUGACAAUAUUGUCUCCACAAUUAACUGUUAUCAGAGUUACACCCUGAGCUCAAACAGUGAUCAGUCCUGAAGGUACGUCAUCCUGCGUGAGCAUAAGAAAUGGCUUCCAAAUCAGAACCAAGAGGCCUAUCUCAAGUGCAGAUAAGCGCCUAAGCCCAGGGGAGAGGCAGAAUUUGAGAUCCAUUUUUCACUUGGCUGUGUGCUGUGCUCACUUUCCAGCAUCACAUGUAUUCUAAAUUCCCAAGAGCUUUAAUGCCUUCACUCACUGAGCAGGCAGCAUGUAAGCAUGUCUCUCCCAAUCCACAUUUAGUCACAGACGAUAAUGUUUAUUGAAUGGCUCAAGGGUGCACAGACUAUUUCUAAAAUCCAUAGCAUCACUGGUGUAAUUUACCACAGCUGAACCUGCUACCUGGCAAAUUUCUCAAUUGCUGAGCAAAUGCAUAGUUAAAAAAAACACUUUGUUGCCUAUAUCCAGAUUGCAAUUUCUUAAUUGCAAAUUGUCAUGCCAGAAAGUACUCAAACUGUAAAAUACUUAUCUUGCUAAAAAUAUUCCAUAUAGUCCAUUUUCUGCAACAGUAAAAAUGAUUCACCAUGUCACCAUCUGUUAUCAGGUACUGAUGCUUUCUUGCUAUAACAACCUCAAUUGCCACCAACCUGUGCUUGCCGUUAACUAAGAAUUUGUAACCCAAACUUAAAGGAACUGCCAAGUACUCUCAGUUCAGCUGAAACUGAUAGGGUGGGAAGCACUCAGCACCUUGCAAGAUUAGACCUUAGAAACAAAAGACUAAUUCCACCAGAAGACUGCAUCACAUUUAUACUGCAAGCUGUGGUGUACUGUUUUGAUCUCUGACCUAACUCUAAAUGAGAAGCAAAGAAAGGGAAAAUUAGCACAUGCAGAGUUUUAUGCUGCUGCUACUUACACUGCUUCCUGUACCCAUGCGAACUCAUUUAGCGUUUGUUCAGCUACUGCUGCACAACCAACUGUGUUGAACCCCAGAGAUGUAAUUAGAUUUGGGUGCCUGAAUUUGUUCCCUUCAGAAGAUCAGGACCAGGGGUUAAUGAAUGUUCAGUCAGUCUUCUUAAACCAAAGCACUCUUUAAUCUUAAGGAACUAAACAUAAAAGACAGUGACAUUUACAAUAAUUAAUGAGUGUAUGCAUCUUUUACCAAAAGCAUCCCAAGCUUCCAUACAACAGCCUAACUUUAAAAUUCUGCAUGCUUGUCUUCUUUAGUCACUUUCCCAUAGUCUCAUGUACAGAGCCCCAUUGGCCAGAAAAAGGGGGGUUUCUUUUUUAUCUGUUUAUAGGCCAUCUUCCCUGGCUGUUUCCCCUCUGGUACAAUGGCACUAUAACCUGGCAGGAGCCAGAGUAGGUAUUUUCUUUUUCUUUUUUUUUUCUUUUUUUUUCUUUUUAUAAAUAGUAGCUCAAGUAUUGUAUUUAACAUUAAACUUGUACAAGAGAGUACAUGAGUACAUUGUGUGGGGUUUUGUCUAUUUCUUCAGCUCACAGGAAACCCAGCCAAAAGUGUACAGUAUUAAUCCCAUUGACCAUAUCUUUUGGUACUUACCAAGAUCAUUUGUUUGCAAGCCAUGUUCGUGAUUAUUACAAGUCAGUCUGUUCCGUGGUUUCUGUUACUUUAACCCUGAGGUACAGUAGGAGCCAACAGUACCAGAAUGAAGAAGCCACUACUAAAAACUAAAUAAUGCCAUAAUCUAAACUAGAAAAAAAAAUCUGCAGUCUUUCCUAUUUCCCAACGAGACUAGAACAAUUAAAAAAUCCUUAGGCAAAAAGAUUGUGGAGCUAUAAAUUAAACCCACCAGAGUAUUUGGAAAAACAAAUCAUUUCUCUUUUAUGUAUUUGAGGCAGUUUGUACAGUUUAAGUACAAAAACAUGCUUGUCACAUAUCAAGUACGUGUCUUUCCUUCUAAAAACAUGUGCUAAUUUCACAAUUAUUUUCAGCAGAAGACCAGCUUCUGAUAUCCAGUGGUUAGACUGCUGCCUGUCUACAAGAUAGGAAAUUAAUGAAACAGGAAAAGUGGCAAUGAAAGAACACCUGAUGCACCCUCAAAGAUAGAUAAAUCAAAUGCAAAGCAAAGCCUGUAGUGCUUACAAGGAAAAGAUCCCUCAGAGGUGAAUCUACAGUUGUUGAGGGUGGGGGACCGGGAGAGGGAGGGGAGGAAAAAAUAAAGGUGUUAAUGAAAAAACGUCCAUAAAUAACUGGGAGAAAAGGAGCAAGAUUGCUUUUAGUGGGAAGAAAAGACAUAGUUAAGUACUUAACUUGAUUUUUUAAAAGGAGAUCAUGUCAGUAUUCUCGCUUCUCAUUUAAAACAAAAAAGGCCAUCUGUAUUAACAACUAAUAUUGAAGGCUAAGCCUUCAUUGCAGAAAUUGUGAAUUCAGUUAGAUCUUGCUUUUACAAAUCACAUCUAGGCUUUCAGCAUGAGUAGUCCCAUUGAUGCAAGCAAGACAAGUAAUGAAUUAAAAUGAAGCAAUUAAUUAGUUUUUAAACACAGCUCUUA